CCUUCCAUCUGAAGGGCACAGUGUCAAACAAUCUUUUCUACACUACACAUGUGCCAAGUGACGUCAUGUCUCCGCCCACUCUGUAGGGGUUGAGCGAGGUGGGCACCGCUCCAGUGAGCGAGCCCAGGUCCUCAGUUAGAGGCGCCUCCUGCCGGCCGGGCCCCGUAUGUGAAUUAUACAAAUGGGAUUGAGCAAGCUGGAUGUUCUCUACAGACGGUUACUCCUUGCUAAGUUUUUCAUCCGAGGAUGGGGAAAACCAGAAGACUUGAAACAGAUAUUUGAAUUUCGUAAAAUUAUUGGAAACAGAGAAAAAUGUCAGCACCUUGUGCCAAAAGAUUACCCAGUGUACAUUGACAAGGUAAUGCUUAUGGACUUUCUAGAGACCCAGAAAAUCCUUAAAGGGGG